CUUGUUUAUGCGGUUUGUGUUUGUUUUUGUUGCUACUCCAGCCGCAGAUUUUACUUUUCAUUGUGCGAAAUUACUCACAAGAAAAGAUUUAACAAUUUGUGAGCUCCAAAGGGAAAGUGCAACUGAUUCUGAUCUGCAUUUCUUCGAGCG